rnacentral:rRNA from 1 species
UACGUAGGGUGCAAGCGUUAAUCGGAAUUACUGGGCGUAAAGCGCACGUAGGCGGGUUCUUAAGUCAGUGGUGAAAUCCUGGAGCUCAACUCCAGAACUGCCUUCGAAACUGGGAAUCUUGAGUCCGGGAGAGGUGAGUGGAACUGCGAGUGUAGAGGUGAAAUUCGUAGAUAUUCGCAAGAACACCAGUGGCGAAGGCGGCUCACUGGCCCGGUACUGACGCUGAGGUGCGAAAGCGUGGGGAGCAAACAGG